rnacentral:other from 20 species
AUUUCCAUUCCCCGAGGGAUCUGAUUUUACA